UUCACUCGCAACACCGGCUUCACCACUGGUUCCGCUCACCGCUCUCGGUGUUUGGGGACGCCUCCCGCCUCCCGGGUGGCCAGAGGGACUUCCUCGAGGAAACUGGCCUCCAGGAAACUGGCUGCACCAGCUGGAGCUGGAAGGGAAACUAGAGAUAAACGAAGAAGGCAAAAGACGGAGUCUCCUACUGCGAACCCCCCAGCACCAGAACAAAGCGCAGAUCUGGGGACGCCGAGUGGACGCGAAUCGUGUCUGGACGGGUUUGGGCCUGAGAGAGACAGAACGCGAACCCCGCGUCCUAGCUGUGGGGCCGCUGAGCCCAGAACAAACUGCUAGGGAGUGGAGGGACCGACCACAUCCCUCCGGGCGGCAUCCUUCUGCGCGGCGGUCAGCAGCUCCGGAGUUCGGAGUUCAGAUUUUGGAGGAAGACGGGAAACAACUUGGGGCUGGAAAAGCUGCUCAACACCGCCCGGGGGUACCAGAGGCCUCGGGACACCCGGCCCCUGCGCCCUCUCCUACCUCCUCCCCCACCUUCGCCAACCUGCAGACCUACGCAGGUCCGUGGGAGAAUCCCUCCCUGAGCAGAAGGAGCAGUUGCGUGACCUCCAGCUCAGUCUCUUCCUCCUGGGGUGAAAAGACAAGGGAGGGGUAAGGUUGGGCCUGUUCGCCAAGGCCCCUGAAGCGCUGCGAUGUCGGGGAUUCCUGGACCUGGACCGGGACUGGCCGGUACAGUCCUGCGUAUUGUGCCCUCAGCUCUUCCAGGGUGUGAACGCGGACUGAAGUGCACCCCUGGCAGAGCGUGGCACCCAGAGGUGACCGAGGGCGCCUAGAGGGGGCGCACUUUUGUGACUGGCAUGAAGGCAGUUUCUGUGAUUCCGAUGCUGAGGUCAGGGAAGGUGGUCUGGUCAGAAUUCUGAACCCUCGACUGCCAAAGUCUGUUGGAGGCUAGGAUGCUAGGGUCUCUCGAGGCAGGGAUCUCAUUUAAUUCUCAAAGAAGAACACUGCAAGGGGUGUCCUAUUAUUACUCCCACUUUAUAGAUGAGAAAACUGAGGAAUGAUAAAAUGAAGAAACUUUUCCAAAUUCACAAUUAGUGUCAGGGAGGAUUGAACCUGCAUGCUGUUGAGCUUCAAAGCUUGUUCUCUGUGCUGAAUUUGCUCCUAAAUAUCUGAUUCAGUCUUCCCUCUCUCUGUCUUCAUUUCAGUUCGUUUCUCUUCUUCCCUCUGUACACACCACUCGUUUUUGUGUCUUUCUUGUCUCUCUGUCUCCAUCUGCGUCUCAUCCCUUUUUCUAGACAAUAUCCAGGCCAUGGUCUCCCUGUCUCUCUCUCUGUUAGUCUCAAUUUGUCUCUUGUUUUCAUUUUAAAGUGAAGUCUACUCUUUCUUUCUAUGAUAAAGUUAAUGCAAGUUCAUAACUAAAGUUUAAAAAAUACAGAAAUGCAUAAAAGGAGACAAAAACCCACUUAUGACUUCACCCACCUCUCCACCCCACAUCUGGAACAAUUUUAUCAAUGUGCCGAAGUUAUAUAUAUAUAUAUAUGAUUUGUGACAUAGUAGCACAUUCAUUUGAAAGAUUUAGUCCAUUCAAAAGCAUACAAGUUGGAGAACUAAAGGAAUCUUUCAGUCCCACUUCCUGGAAGUAAUUCUUUUUAACAGUAACUAUUACUCCUCUUCCUGCCCCUCCACUCCCCUUUUUAUCAGCAAUUUCUCCCCAGUGGAACCCGGCUGUGUAAAAAUUAGUAGCCUGCUUUUUGUGUCUUACCGUGGCCUUUAAUUUGCAUCUCCCACAUGUCUGACUAUACUGUAUCAGUUAGGGCCCCAGCAGGAAACAGAUGGCCCAAUCAAUUUAGGGUAAUUUGAGGUGGAUAUCAUACCAGGAGUGUUUACAAAGGGGUUUGAGAGUGAAGUGGGCAUAGUGCAAGGCCUUGAGUCCUUCCUGGGGGAGGGUCUGCCACCCCUAGGCCUGAAGGGAGGGGAGCAGGCAGGGAGUGCUUACCUGACCUGGCAAGGGCAGGCCUGUGCACAGGGCAGGGAAACAGACUAGCUGUGGUGGUCCUGAAGGGAGAAAGCCUGGGGAAUAAUUGCUCUGACCUCUCAGAGAAUAAAGAGCGUCCUUCCCCUCUCCCUGGUCCUACUGCUAGGCUACCAGUUAGCUGCACCCAGUGGAGGGCAAGGGCCAGCUUCCUGUGGCCCAGAGCAGGGUGGAGAUGUGGGAAGAGUGGACCUGGCAGGGCAAUGACAACGUGCCACAUAUACCGUUACUGAUGCUCCCAUUCAACAGGAUCUCGGAGUAACCAAUGCCCUCCAGAGCUGCAGGUUUGCAUUUGAAUGAAGUCCAACUUAUCAACUCCUUUUUUCAUGGAUCAUGAUUUUCAUGUAUGUAAAAGUCAUCAGCACUGAUUGGUAUGGCCCAGCUGGUAAAGCAUCACAAAGCAAAAUGUCACUCGUUCAGUUCCUGGUCAAGGCAUAUGCCUGGAUUGCAGGUGAAUGUCCAGUUGUUGCAAUACCAUUUGUUGAGAAGACUAUCUUUUCUCCACUGAAUUACUGCCGGGGUCCAGCCUCGGCGAGUCUAAGGGUCCCCGAAGGAGGAACAGCUCAGGUCCUGAUUGGGGGUGUGGUUCAUGGACCCCAACUUAAAGUAUAUCUACAGCAGUUACCUGUGAUGUAGUGGAUCUAUAUAUGUGGACAUGGAAAAAUCGUCAAGAUAUAUUACAGUUAAGAAAGUAAAUUGCUGAAUACUUAGUGUGACAUACUUGUGUUUAGAAGUAGUCACAUACACAAAAGGAGUUCAGUGAAGAACAGCAGCCUUUUCAACAAAUGGUACUGGAGCAAUCGGACAUCCACAGGACAAAAAGUGAACUUUGACUCAAGCUCACACCUAAAACAAAAAUGACCUCCAAAUGGAUCAUGGACUUAGAUGUAAAAUAUAAAGCUAUAAAACUUUUAGAAAAAGUUUAGAACAUUUUUGGGAUCUAUGCCUAGGCAAAGAGUUCUUAGACUUGACACCAAGGGCUCAAUCCAUAACAGGAAAAACUGACCAACUGGCCUGACAAAAGACUGGUAUCUAGAACAGAUAAAGAACUCUCAAACUCAACAGUAAAAAAAUUAAACAAUCCACUUGGAAGACAGACAAAAGACACGAAGGCACAUUUCACCAAAGUGGAUGCACAGAGGGGAAACAGCCCAUGCAGGGGUGCUCAAUACCACUAGCUGGUAGAGGAAUGCAAAUUAAAACCACAGUGAGAUAUCAUUACACACCUAGCAGGAUGGCUAAAAUUAAAUUAAGAAAAAAUAGUGAUAGUAAAUGCUGUUAGGAUGCAGAGAAGCUACAUCAUCACAUAUUGUUGGUAUGAAUGCAAAUGGUACAGCCACUCUGGAAAACAGUUGGGCAGUUUCUUACCAAACUAAACAUGCAAAUACCAUAUGACUUAGUAAUCCCAUUCCUGGACACUUGUCCCAGAGAAAUGAGGACUUCUGGUCCCACAGAAUCCUACACAUGAGUGCUUAUAGCAGCUUUAUUUGCAACAGUCAAAAGCUGGAAACAAUCCAGAUGUUCUUUAACAGGUGAUAUUUAAACAAACUGCAGCAUACCCAUGCCAUCAGCAAUAAAGAGGAGCAAAGCCUUGAUACACACAACUAUCUGGGUAAGUCUCCAAAGAAUUAUACUGAGUGAAAAAAGCUCAUCCCCAAAGGCAACCUACUGUAUGGUUCCACUUACACAGCAUUCUGGAAAUGACAUCAGUGAUUGCCAGGGGUCAAGGAGCAGAGUUGGUGUGACUAUUGAAAGGGCAACAUGGGGGACCUUUGUGGUGACGGAAUUUUCUGUAGCUCGACUGUAUCAGUGUCAAUAUCCAGGCUGUGACAUUGUGUUAUAUAGAGUUUUGCAAGGUAAAGGGGAAACGUUUGCAAGGUAAACGUUACCAUCGUAGACGGGAACUGGGUAAAAGGCACACAGAAUCUCUGUAUCAUUUCUUACAAUGGCAUGCAAAUGUACAAUUAUGUCAAAAUAAAAAGUUUA